AGCAGAUUUAUCGAAUACAAUAGAAGAUUAGUCUCUGAAUACAAUUCAUCAUAUUAGUCUCCGAAUUUAAAAUACUGAACAAAGUUAGAACAUUACAAGUCUCGAGACCGCGAGUAGCGAGUUUGUCUUCACAUUACAAGUCGAUAUUGAUCAUCUAAACUACCAUCACAUAGAAGAGAGCUGUGGUCAUCACGAUGAGCAUAAUCGCGAUGAAACUGGUCUUCAUCCGGUUCCUCCAACGCUCCCUCCUCUAUCCCGCUAGAUUGCGCCCGUAUCUAACUUCCGCCUCCACCCUAGUGGUGUACCCUUUGUAACUGUUACCGCUGAAACGGUGAACCUGUCUCCGACACUCCUCCUAGUCGUCGUAGACUCCGGGAACCUUACCCUUGUACACGACAUACGACGGCAUCU
rnacentral:lncRNA from 1 species